rnacentral:rRNA from 1 species
UACAGAGGGUGCGAGCGUUGUUCGGAAUCAUUGGGCGUAAGGCGCACGUAGGCGGCUUUCUAAGUCGGGGGUGAAAUCCUGGAGCUCAACUCCAGAACUGCCUUCGAUACUGGAAAGCUCGAGUCCGGGAGAGGUGAGUGGAACUGCGAGUGUAGAGGUGAAAUUCGUAGAUAUUCGCAAGAACACCAGUGGCGAAGGCGGCUCACUGGCCCGGUACUGACGCUGAGGUGCGAAAGCGUGGGGAGCAAACAGG